AACAAAAUUUGUGAUGCUUAAGGGGGGCUAUUGUUCGGCGGUUUAUAGGAGCCAGAUUUGUCUUUUGGGCAGAUCUCCAACCUAUUCUUACUUCCAAAACCGUUGCGAUGGCUUUCCAUUAGAUUUUCCUUUCUUUUCCUCGGUUUAGUUUAUUUUAUAUAAGUUACUUCGAGGAAGGAAAAGAAAAAGGAUAACGAGUGUCGUAGAUAAAUCUUCGGUUCCGAAUAGUCUGACUAUUGGUAUUGAGGUAAUCCAUCUUUAAAACCAUUGCCGUUAGAGGUUGCUUCCGGUUAUAUCCGGUUAAGCGACCCAUGAAAUGGUGAUGACCUGAGGUAUGGAACAUCU
rnacentral:snoRNA from 1 species